rnacentral:tRNA from 1 species
CAAUUGAUAUCUUAAAUUUAAGAAUUGAUUUUUUAAAUCAAAUUAUAGUAAAUUUAUACUUACUUCAAUUGA